GUUGGUUAUCGUUUAUAACUUUAUCUUAAUACCGCAGCGUUUCUAGUUAUUUAUUUUUUUACUUCUGCUUAUUUGGGGUCGAUUGUUAUUAGUCUGUUCAGCGCGAGGGAGGCGGGGUAGUUCGCAGCGGAUUCUUCUUGUGCGUUUCAUCUUUGACAAACAAUUAAAGUGGCACAGGGACGUUGUUUGUGUUGGUGACUUUCUAACGUGGACAUUGGUCAUUUGAUUCAUUAUGGGAAACCGGUUUGGAAAAGAGCGAGAAACUAACAAUGCUGAGACUGCUGAAGAAGCAAAGACUGCAGAGGAGUCAGAAGCUGGACAACCAGCGGAGGACUCUGGGAUAACUCAAACUCAAACUCAGGAUCUAGAUGUCCAGAUUCUGGGGCAGGUGGCGCAAGUGGCGCGUUCCAUCACUGAAAAAUUGGUGUUGAACAGUGGAGUGGAGGAGGAUGCUGAGCCCGUGGCGAAGGAAACACCAGCUCCAGUCCAAUCCGAGCCUCUGGUCUCACUUGGCAAAUCAUCAGCUCCAGAUUUAGAACCUGUUGCUGAAGCUCCGCUGGCUACAGAGCCAGUUCCUGAACCACUGCCCGCACCAGAGCCAGUUUCCACACCAGAGCCAGUUCCAGAACCAGAUCCAGUUGCCGAACCACUGCCUGAACCAGAGCCAGUCUCCAAAACGGUUCCAGUUCCUGAACCAGAGGCAGAAGUUGAGGUAGUCUCUGAACCCAUUUCAGAGUUGGUGCCGGCGGGAGCUGAGGCCGCAGAGCUGAAGACGGACCUCCUCAGCCAAGAGUCUCUCCCCGAGCCACAGAUUUCUUCUCCAGCACCUUUGAUCAACCCAUGCGCCCCCGAAGAAGAUGCCCGACCCGUUGACAUUCCUCCCGCCCCAGCUCCGGUCGAAGCGAAGGAGCCGGCAGACAACCCGGCGACCGAGGAAUUCCAAAACAGCGCUGAGGUCUCGGCCAUUCCCACGUUUGAGCCUGAAAACGGCGAGGAGGCGUCCGAGUCAGGGGAAAAGGCGAUGGAGGGGAAGGGUGGAGUGCAUUUGGAGCAGCAUGUGUGUGACGUCAGCGACGAGGGUCUCAGUGGACUGCUGAAGAACUUGGAGCUGAAAGGAAACGACCUUGUCGCUGACCUCAUUCCGGCCGACGUCCAGAUUCCCGACGACGUGAGCACUUCCACCGAGCUGAUGUGAAGGUGCGGCAGUGAAAGGAUGUUAUAUCUGUGAAGCCCUCGUAACCCCUAACGUGAAUUCCAAAAGAAGCUGGGAUGCAAUGUUUCUUUCUCUCUCACCUAAGUGGCCUAAUAAAGGCAAAAAUGUCUCUAUCUAAAUGAACGUGUGCCAAAAAAAGGUGUAUUGUCUGGGCUUUAUUAUGAGUGUACUUGUGUGUAUUGCUGGACAACAGAGAUCUUCCUCUAUGCAAAUGCACCAGGCAAGAAUUUUAACCAAAUUUCUUUAAGAGAAAAGAAGCCAUUGCUAUACGAUAACGCGGCAUAGAGAAAGCUGGAAGGGAAUCAUUUUGAUGUUCCUGAGUACAAAGGGAAAAGCAGAAGUGUCCUGAGGUAUGUCAGUCAGCAUCGGCAGGUAAAUCCAAAUCCAUAGGCAAGGGAUAGUAGCAAUGAAAAAGACAUUAUACUGUAUGCUAUUGAAAUACGAGUGUCUAGUGAACUAUUACGCCUUCACAUAAUCAUCUUUGAGCUUUUUGAAAUUCUGUGUCUUUCUUGUAUUCUAAUUUAACAAUGGGAAUUUUCUUUUUUUUUAACCUAAGUAGUGGCUUGCUUGUAAAAAUAAAAAUAUUAUUAUA
ensembl:lncRNA